UAGCCCCUGCGGUGUUCGAUUCAGUGUAGGAAAUUUGGAGCCAACACCUCUUAUAAGAGGGAUGAUACUGGCUGUGGUGAGCAGGCCCACCUUUGAGUGGGAAGCCUAAAGCAGCCGUGAUUCCCUCAACCUGGUUAGCCAGGGCUGCAAAUGGACUACACGGUCGGCACUCGCGGGGGCUUU
rfam:Deferribacter desulfuricans SSM1 DNA, complete genome.